rnacentral:lncRNA from 1 species
UUGAGUUAAUUCUCUUUUUAUUUUCCUUCUAAACUUUUGGGUGAUGGGAUUAAUAUUCCUCCACUUUGUCCCUCUUUUUUUGUCAAUUAGUGCUGUCUUUUUAAUUUUAUUUAUUUAUUUACUUUUGUUUCCUUUGAUUAGUUGGGUAAUUGGAGGAAAACCCUUUUGUUUUUAUAUUUAUUUAUUUUUCUCCAAUGCUUUUCUUUUCUCAUAGAGAAAAGGAAUAAUUGCCAGUGCUUCCUUAACCCCCUUUGGGCCCCACUCGGCCCAAUCUAGUAGGCCCGUUUUCUUAAUGACUGCCCCUACCAUGUGUUAAUAUUACCAAAAGGUUAUUAAUCUAGUUUCUUCAUCACAACCCGCAAUUAUAUUGGUGUUCAUUCUGUUUUAGUUUUCG